rnacentral:rRNA from 1 species
AGAGUUUGAUCAUGGCUCAGAUUGAACGCUGGCGGAAUGCUUUACACAUGCAAGUCGAACGAUGAACCUUAGCUUGCUAAGGGGAUUAGUGGCGAACGGGUGAGUAAUAUAUCGGAACGUGCCUUGUAAUGGGGGAUAACUAGUCGAAAGAUUAGCUAAUACCGCAUACGCCCUGAGGGGGAAAGUAGGGGAUCUUCGGACCUUACGUUAUAAGAGCGGCCGAUAUCUGAUUAGCUAGUUGGUGGGGUAAUGGCCUACCAAGGCUUCGAUCAGUAGCUGGUCUGAGAGGACGACCAGCCACACUGGAACUGAGACACGGUCCAGACUCCUACGGGAGGCAGCAGUGGGGAAUUUCGGACAAUGGGCGCAAGCCUGAUCCAGCCAUUCCGCGUGAGUGAAGAAGGCCUUCGGGUUGUAAAGCUCUUUCGCAAGGGAAGAAAACUUACACAAUAACACUGUGUGAGGCUGACGGUACCUUGAUAAGAAGCACCGGCUAACUACGUGCCAGCAGCCGCGGUAAUACGUAGGGUGCGAGCGUUAAUCGGAAUUACUGGGCGUAAAGCGUGCGCAGGCGGUUUGGCAAGUCAGAUGUGAAAUCCCCGAGCUCAACUUGGGAACUGCGUUUGAAACUGCCAGACUAGAAUAUGUCAGAGGGGGGUAGAAUUCCACGUGUAGCAGUGAAAUGCGUAGAGAUGUGGAG